UACGGGGGGGGCAAGCGUUGUUCGGAAUUAUUGGGCGUAAAGAGCUCGUAGGCGGUUUGUCGCGUCUGCUGUGAAAACUCGAGGCUCAACCUCGGGCUUGCAGUGGGUACGGGCAGACUAGAGUGCGGUAGGGGAGACUGGAAUUCCUGGUGUAGCGGUGGAAUGCGCAGAUAUCAGGAGGAACACCGAUGGCGAAGGCAGGUCUCUGGGCCGCAACUGACGCUGAGGAGCGAAAGCAUGGGGAGCGAACAGG
rnacentral:rRNA from 1 species